rnacentral:lncRNA from 1 species
CUUCUGUCAAUCCCCAUUUGAUUAUAUGUGUUUUCCUCUCCAAUGUCCAUCCCUAUAAACUAAUCUUUGGCAAUGGAGGUGGUUCUAGGUUGCAAAGAUUUUGAAGAUUCUAGAGCAGCAAGAACAUGUUGGGAAAUGAGUAGAAGAAUACUCUGCUGUGGAUAUGGAUGGCAUUCGUGAAGAUUGGUCGACUUAUGCGGUUAACUCUAUUUUUAAGUUAUAUAUCGUAUUUUAGGUGUUGAUGAUGUAUUGACAAACAAUUCUUUUUUUGUUAACGUUAAAAUAUUUGUAGUAUACUUGGCAAAUGAUUAUGUAAUGGAUUGUUUUGGUAUAUAUAUAUGUAUGUGUGUGUGUGUAUUUGUUUUAUGAAAAAGAUUUAUUGUUUUUGU